AAAACUGCUAUGUUUGUACUGGAUGCAAUUAUAAAUUAAGACAAAACUGAACGGAACUGAUCUCACAAAGUAAUGUUGUUACAAUGUGCAAUUGAGCAAAUAUGAAUUUGUUUUGAGCUUAAUUCAUUUUUUAGUCUUGAUUGUCCUUUCCAUUCUCGAAGGGGUAUAAUCUGAUCCCUCUGCUCUACUUCUGACUUAAUCAAUCUGUGAUGCCGUAUGCUAUUUUGGUAGUUCCUGUUUUCCACAAAGAAGUAGAAUUUGAAACUGAAAAAAUGAAUUGAUGACUGGAGAAUUGUGCCAUUUGCAGAUAAUGUAUUAAUUUGUUUGCUUAUUUAAAAUAUUUAUAUCAACCGUUCAUGAUACAGUCCUUCAAAGUAUCAUUCAAUCACAUUUUUAAAGCCAUAAUAAGCAAUGUCAACAUAUAAAAAGUUAUUAGGCUCCUUCCCACAGGACAGUUGAUGAUAGAUGGCCCUGUGAUGUGGUGGGAAUAGUCAGAUAUUGUUGAACUCCAACUCAAACCAACCCAAGCCAGCAUGGCCAAUGGCCAAAAUGAUGGGGGUCAGGGUCCAGCAACUUAUGGAGGAUCACAAGUUUCCCAUCCUUUGGGAAACAUUUGGUUGUACAUGACCCUGGUGGGGCAACAGUGGGAAAGUUCAGGUGGAGUAGGAUCUGAGGUUUAGUCUGCCCAAGUCCUUCUCACUCCUGAAACUUGAUGGUAGGUGGUCCUGAGAGGGGUGGGGAGAGAAGGUCCAGCUGGAUUAGUCUCUGUGACAGUUUUCAGUCAUGUCCCUCUUUCUGCUGUAGACAUAUAGAGUUGCCAGUAGUGUACAGUAUUUACAGACUAUUCAUAUUUCAGCAGUUCUGUCCAUUGGAAGUGGAUCCGAAAGUUGUAGGAAUUGCUCAGAAUAAGCUUUUGAGAGUGGUGUUAAAUUUUUCACCCAGUAUACUGCUACACAUUUUAGCGCAGAGGUUGGUUUUAUGCCAAUCGAAUAGUAUAUUUUUAGAAUCAUUUUUCUCUACUAUUAUAAAUUAAAUAGAAAAUCAGAAAAUGGUUUGCCUAAUAGCUUUGGAAGCUAUUCAGGAAUAGAAACAUAUUCUGGACAGAGUUUGCCCAUAAUUAAUGGGAAAGUAAAAUAUUGUGGACUGUGCAAUCCAAUCCUAUAUCUAUUUACUCAUAAAUAAGCCCGCUGAGUUAAAUGGAUCUUAUUCCCAAAUACAUGUUCAAAGGAUUUCAGCCUAAAUGAUGUCUGUGUUCAGUUGUGGUCUAUGUGUUUGUGAAAAUAGGGUUAAUGCAAACACAGAGGACAAGAGAUGGUAUAUUUAAGUGUAGGGUUUUUUUUGUAGAUAGAUAAUCUGAAGGAUUAAAUUUAUUUUUCAUCCCAAAUCUGAAAACUGAAUUGCUGUGUAGGACAAUAAGACCCUAUAAUAACCAUUAGGCAUUAGUGACUUCCUGUGGCCCUAUUUACUAUUAAUAGUACCCAUUUUUUGUUACCAGUCUCUGACAAAUCACUGUGCAUAUUUCCGUUCCCUUUUUUCCAUUUGGGAUCACUUUGUAUAAAGAAUGCUAGAGCUACUUGCUAGGGUUGUCAUUCUUCAGGGUUCAGAAUCUGCCUUCCCCAUCCAGGGUCUUUAGAAGUUAGAUUUAUGAGGACCACUAAGGCAUCAUGCAGUGCACAGCUUGCCAUUUCACACACUACAUGCUUUGUACUGUGAUAGUAUAUUGUCAGACUCUUUUGUUUGUCUAAUAUAUCUUAAAUGGAAAGAACAAACACUCCCUUGGCCUUUAAAUUAAUGGAGGGCAUGCUAUUGCAGAGUCAAGGAAGGCUAAAUGAAGCAGACAAAGUGGCGCUUUCAGCAAUGUGUAAUGGGACAUUAUUCCUUGGUAUGAGAAUUGGGGGGGGGGUGUAUUACAGCCAUGUCCCUAUUUUCAUAUUUUGAACAUUGAACAAUAUGGUUACUGAUAGGCACCAGCUUCAUAUUUAAUAGUUCACUUAAAACCAGUGCAACUGGGUGCCCGUGAUUACACUUCAACUACACCCCAACACCAUGCAUAGUUGAUCAAAAGUGAGCACCACUGAGUUCAGCAAAGCUUACUUCCAUAUAAACCAGUAUCCAAUCACAACCUUGCUGUGCAAUCCAAUGUAUGUUUACUCAGAAGUCCCACUUUUCUCAAUGGCUCUUGUCUCCCAGUAAACAUAUGCAUUAUUCUUAAUAAACUUGUAGAGUUGUACUGUUAGUCAUUGGCAAAUGGUUGGACUGGCCAUAAUCUACCAGAUUUAAAGAUGGUAAAAUAUGUUUUUAUGGUUUGAAGAUACAUCUCUAGUGAACAAAAGUCCUGGUGGUUUAAAGCGAAAGUCUCCAGAUUCUUGUGUGAGUUGUAUUUUAUCUGUAUUGUUUUAAUUUGUGCAAGCUACCUUGUGUCCUAGCCUGGGGAAAAGGCAGGAUAUC